rnacentral:rRNA from 1 species
UCGGGGUGCAGCAGGCGCGAAAACUUUACAAUGCGGGAAACCGUGAUAAGGGGACACCGAGCGCCAGCAUCAUAUGCUGGCUGUCCAGAUGUGUAAAAUACAUCUGUUAGCAAGGGCCGGGCAAGACCGGUGCCAGCCGCCGCGGUAACACCGGCGGCCCGAGUGGUGAUCGUGAUUAUUGGGUCUAAAGGGUCCGUAGCCGGUUUGGUCAGUCCUCCGGGAAAUCUGAUGGCUCAACCAUUAGGCUUUCGGGGGAUACUGCCAGGCUUGGAACCGGGAGAGGUAAGAGGUACUACAGGGGUAGGAGUGAAAUCUUGUAAUCCCUGUGAGACCACCUGUGGCGAAGGCGUCUUACCAGAACGGGUUCGACGGUGAGGGACGAAAGCUGGGGGCACGAACCGGAUUAGAUACCCGGGUAGUCCCAGCCGUAAACGAUGCUCGCUAGGUGUCAGGCAUGGCGCGACCGUGUCUGGUGCCGCAGGGAAGCCGUGAAGCGAGCCCACCUGGGAAAGUACGGCCGCAAAGGCUGAAACUUAAAGGAAUUGGCGGGGGAGCACAACAACGGGUGGAGCCUGCGGUUUAAUUGGACUCAACGCCGGACAACUCACCGGGGACGACAGCAAUAUGUAGGCCAGGCUGAAGACCUUGCCUGAAUCGCUGAGAGGAGGUGCAUGGCCGUCGCCAGUUCGUACUGUGAAGCAUCCUGUUAAGUCAGGCAACGAGCGAGACCCGUGCCCACUGUUACCAGCAUGUCCUCCGGGACGAUGGGUACUCUGUGGGGACCGCCGAUGUUAAAUCGGAGGAAGGUGCGGGCCACGGUAGGUCAGUAUGCCCCGAAUUUCCCGGGCUACACGCGGGCUACAAUGAAUGGGACAAUGGGUCCCUACCCUGAAAAGGGCUGGUAAUCUCCCAAACCCAUCCGUAGUUCGGAUCGAGGGCUGUAACUCGCCCUCGUGAAGCUGGAAUCCGUAGUAAUCGCGUUUCAAUAUAGCGCGGUGAAUACGUCCCUGCUCCUUGCACACACCGCCCGUCAAACCACCCGAGUGAGGUAUGGGUGAGGGCACGAACUCUGUGUCGUGUUCGAACCUGUGUUCCGCAAGGGGGGUUAAGUCGUAACAAGGUAUCCGUA